UACGUAGGGUGCAGGCGUUUAAUCGGAAUUACUGGGCGUAAAGCGUGCGCAGGCGGUCUUUUAAGUCAGAUGUGAAAUCCCCCGGCUUAACCUGGGAACUGCGUCUGAUACUGGAAGGCUUGAGGAUGGGAGAGGGAUGUAGAAUUCCAGGUGUAGCGGUGAAAUGCGUAGAUAUCUGGAGGAAUACCGGUGGCGAAGGCGGCAUCCUGGACCAUUACUGACGCUGAGGCGCGAAAGCUAGGGGAGCAAACGGG
rnacentral:rRNA from 1 species